UACAGAGGUCCCGAGCGUUGUUCGGAUUCACUGGGCGUAAAGCGUGCGCAGGCGGUUCGUUGUGUCGGCGGUGAAAGCCCCGGGCUUAACCUGGGAAUGGCCGUUGAAACUGGCGAACUGGAGUGUGGCAGAGGGGGGUGGAAUUCCGCGUGUAGCAGUGAAAUGCGUAGAGAUGCGGAGGAACACCGAUGGCGAAGGCAGCCCCCUGGGCUAACACUGACGCUCAGGCACGAAAGCGUGGGGAGCAAACAGG
rnacentral:rRNA from 1 species